rnacentral:rRNA from 1 species
GGGGAAUCUUAGACAAUGGGGGCAACCCUGAUCUAGCCAUGCCGCGUGAGUGAAGAAGGCCUUCGGGUUGUAAAGCUCUUUUGUCAGGGAAGAAACGGUAGAGGCUAAUAUCCUUUGCUAAUGACGGUACCUGAAGAAUAAGCACCGGCUAACUACGUGCCAGCAGCCGCGGUAAUACGUAGGGUGCAAGCGUUAAUCGGAAUUACUGGGCGUAAAGCGUGCGCAGGCGGUUUUGAAAGUCUGUCGUGAAAGCCCCGGGCUCAACCUGGGAAUUGCGAUGGAGACUGCAAGGCUUGAAUCUGGCAGAGGGGGGUAGAAUUCCACGUGUAGCAGUGAAAUGCGUAGAGAUGUGGAGGAACACCGAUGGCGAAGGCAGCCCCCUGGGUCAAGAUUGACGCUCAUGCACGAAAGCGUGGGGAGCAAA